GCUUUCGUGGUGUAACGAUUAACACACUCGGCGCGUAUCGAGAGGUACAGGUUCGAAUCCCGGUGAGGGCA
rnacentral:tRNA from 1 species